GAUGAACGCUGGCGGCGUGCCUAAUACAUGCAAGUCGAGCGAACGGACGAGGAGCUUGCUCCUCUGACGUUAGCGGCGGACGGGUGAGUAACACGUGGAUAACCUACCUAUAAGACUAGGAUAACUUCGGGAAACCGGAGCUAAUACCGGAUAAUAUAUUGAACCACAUGGUUCAAUAGUGAAAGACGGUUUUGCUGUCACUUAUAGAUGGAUCCGCGCCGCAUUAGCUAGUUGGUAAGGUAACGGCUUACCAAGGCAACGAUGCGUAGCCGACCUGAGAGGGUGAUCGGCCACACUGGAACUGAGACACGGUCCAGACUCCUACGGGAGGCAGCAGUAGGGAAUCUUCCGCAAUGGGCGAAAGCUUGACGGAGCAACGCCGCGUGAGUGAUGAAGGUCUUCGGAUCGUAAAACUCUGUUAUUAGGGAAGAACAAAUGUGUAAGUAACUAUGCACGUCUUGACGGUACCUAAUCAGAAAGCCACGGCUAACUACGUG
rnacentral:rRNA from 1 species